GACGAACGCUGGCGGCGUGCUUAACACAUGCAAGUCGAGCGGUAAGGCCCUUUCGGGGGUACACGAGCGGCGAACGGGUGAGUAACACGUGGGUGACCUGCCCUUAGCUCUGGGAUAAGCCUGGGAAACUGGGUCUAAUACCGGAUAUGACUCCAUGACGCAUGUUGUGGGGUGGAAAGCCUUGUGCGGCUAGGGAUGGGCCCGCGGCCUAUCAGCUUGUUGGUGGGGUGANGGCCUACCAAGGCGACGACGGGUAGCCGGCCUGAGAGGGCGACCGGCCACACUGGGACUGAGACACGGGCCCAGACUCCUACGGGAGGCAGCAGUGGGGAAUCUUGCGCAAUGGGCGAAAGCCUGACGCAGCGACGCCGCGUGAGGGAUGACGGCCU
rnacentral:rRNA from 1 species